UAGCUACAGGCUUAACACAUGCAAGUCGAGGGGAAACGACAUCAAAAGCUUGCUUUUGAUGGGCGUCGACCGGCGCACGGGUGAGUAACGCGUAUCCAACCUGCCCACCACUUGGGGAUAACCUUGCGAAAGUAAGACUAAUACCCAAUGACGUCUCUAGAAGACAUCUGAAAGAGAUUAAAGAUUUAUCGGUGAUGGAUGGGGAUGCGUCUGAUUAGCUUGUUGGCGGGGUAACGGCCCACCAAGGCGACGAUCAGUAGGGGUUCUGAGAGGAAGGUCCCCCACAUUGGAACUGAGACACGGUCCAAACUCCUACGGGAGGCAGCAGUGAGGAAUAUUGGUCAAUGGACGAGAGUCUGAACCAGCCAAGUAGCGUGCAGGAUGACGGCCCUAUGGGUUGUAGACUGCUUUUAUAAGGGAAUAAAGUGAGUCUCGUGAGACUUUUUGCAUGUACCUUAUGAAUAAGGACCGGCUAAUUCCGUGCCAGCAGCCGCGGUAAUACGGAAGGUCCGGGCGUUAUCCGGAUUUAUUGGGUUUAAAGGGAGCGUAGGCCGGAGAUUAAGCGUGUUGUGAAAUGUAGACGCUCAACGUCUGCACUGCAGCGCGAACUGGUUUCCUUGAGUACGCACAAAGUGGGCGGAAUUCGUGGUGUAGCGGUGAAAUGCUUAGAUAUCACGAAGAACUCCGAUUGCGAAGGCAGCUCACUGGAGCGCAACUGACGCUGAAGCUCGAAAGUGCGGGUAUCGAACAGGAUUAGAUACCCUGGUAGUCCGCACGGUAAACGAUGGAUGCCCGCUGUUGGUCUGAAUAGGUCAGCGGCCAAGCGAAAGCAUUAAGCAUCCCACCUGGGGAGUACGCCGGCAACGGUGAAACUCAAAGGAAUUGACGGGGGCCCGCACAAGCGGAGGAACAUGUGGUUUAAUUCGAUGAUACGCGAGGAACCUUACCCGGGCUUGAAUUGCAGAGGAAGGAUUUGGAGACAAUGACGCCCUUCGGGGCCUCUGUGAAGGUGCUGCAUGGUUGUCGUCAGCUCGUGCCGUGAGGUGUCGGCUUAAGUGCCAUAACGAGCGCAACCCCUCUCCUUAGUUGCCAUCAGGUCAAGCUGGGCACUCUGGGGACACUGCCACCGUAAG
rnacentral:rRNA from 1 species